UGCAGCCUGAGUCGGCGGGGAUAGCUCUGGAGCUGGCGGCGCGCGUGUGCUGUUCGUGGUGGGCGAUUUUUUGCUGCCCUCCAUCUUGAUGAUUCACCGCUUGCUUCCAGGCUCUUUGGCCUCAUCACCUCCACCUUGUCCCUGAGAGAGCAACACGACGACGAAGAGGUCGAGAUGAAAUGGGCAGCCAUCGAGCGGCUGCCCACCUGGGACAGGCUCCAUACCUCGCCCCCUCUCCACGCCAGCGGCAAUGCCGACGGCGCUCGUCCGCUGGAGCCGGUCGACGCGGGCCGGCUAGGGGCGGCGGACUGGCAGGAGCAGGUUACGCCUGCUUCGCCGCCGGCGCCACUGGAUGGACAGGGUCGGCGUGCGGCAGCCGAUGUUGGAGGUCCGGUGGCGGAACCUGCGCGUCGAUGCCGAGUGCCAGGUCGUCGAUGGCAAGCCGCUCCUCAAGUCCGCCAUCUCCGCUCGUUCAAAAAAAAAAAAAACUCCGCCAUCUCCAAGCUCUCGCUGCAGCUGCUCACCACCAUGCUGGGCUUCAACCAUAUAACAAAGAAAGGAUGAAGGAUCCACAUCCUCAAAGAUGUCACCGGCAUCCUCAAACCAUCCAGGAUGACCCUUCUCCUUGGACCCCCAGGCUGUGGCAAAACCACCCUUUUGCUAGCACUUGCUGGAAAGCUACCAAAAAUCUAAGAUAACACGAGAACUUGACUACAAUUAAUGGUGUCAAGCUGCAAAAUUUUGUUCCAGAAAAGACAGCACCUUACAUUGGUCAGUAUGAUCUUCAUAUCCCUGAGAUGACUGUCACGGAGAUGCUCGACUUCUCUGCAAGAUUCCAGGGCGUUGGCAGAAGAGCAGAAUAGAAAUCAUGAAGGAAGUCAUUAGAUGCUUCGAGUUCGACUGCUCCUCCUUCGCCGGUCUUAGCCCAGCAAGUGUUGUGGCUAGGUGGUGAGGAACAGAGAAUCAAACGGGCAGACCAUGCUGGAGAAGAUGGUGACCUUUGCUGACCCGCUUACGCCCCACCCGGCAUCUCCUUAGUUAUCUUUCUCGGUUCCAGUAACCUGCUUUCAUCUACUUUCCGCCUAGGUCUGACUUGCUGAAUCCUACUGUUGUUUAAACCUUGUGUUUGGUUUCACUGAUUAAUGGAACCGGGCGGGCGCUCUGUUUAUCUGAAAAAAUACAGAACCACACCAUAGUGUCUAAAAUGUUUCCGAUAAUUAAGAAAUUAUCAUUAAGAAUUAUUCCGUUGAGCCAUGAUUAAUAUCUGCUGCUACUAGGCUUAGUUUGGUUGUAUAUUUUGCUUAUCUAAACCACACAAUUGUAUUUGUUUCCUGUAGUUUUAGUUCCUAAUUAUGUAUCAUGACAAAUCAGCAUGCCAAGCAAAAAAGGGACUCAACUUAGCCACAAAGACAUAUAACUUCGAGAUAUUUAUAACUUCAGUGCUAACUCCCUUCUGUGUACCUAAAAAAGGAAGUGCAGACGAAACUACUUUUGAGCGGAAAGGUGAAUUUGUAUUGGACAUGCACUAAUUGUUUUAUGCUUUGUGGUGUUGUGAAGGAAAUGUAGUAAAGAGGGAAUAUAUCCUUUCCCUGCACCAGCAUAGGAUAAAAGUGUGCCAGAUUUGUGGCAUAAGGUAGUGACGAAUAGUGAAAUCCUCGCUGGGGAGGUAAGAUCUUCAUUUUUGUGAAAGAAUCUCCUCUUCUAACCGCUUUAUCAACUCAUAUUUAGAUCCAUCUGGAUCAAGUAAUUUUGCAUAUGGUUUUCUUAGUCAAGCUGAUAAGAUAGGCUAUGUGGAAUUGUGGAUGGAAGGUUGAAAAAGUGUUAUGUCACAUGAUAACUAGAUAAUUUCUACCUCACCUGUCAAUCAAUAUGCAAGUUUUCUACAAGAAUGAGAUGACACUUGAAGUACAAGCUAUGAAAUCUGCUAAGUUGAGAUAUCAGAUAACUACGUUAAUAAAUUAGGAGACCCUAACUAGCUAAUUCAUAAAUCACCAUUCACCGGGCUUAUGACAUUGAAGGCCUCCCUGUAGAUUAUUAUA